GAAAGUAAAAGUUGGUGUUUGAAAAAACUGCAGCAAGAUGGCUAUUCGCGCCGGUUUUACGUCUGCUGUUCCGUUAUGAAUUACGAUUUCACUCCACGCGGGCACCGUGUUUUCGAACGCACCUCCGUUGACUUCGUGUGUGACGUUUCCUGAUGGGGGCGGAGCGUCCUCCAGCUUCCCAAUUCUAACCAACCCGAUCUCGAUAGCCGUCGCAUUCCGCUGAGUUGCUUCAGUGUGCCUCGGUAGUGCAUUCGGUGCGUUUUUUGGUGUGUGCUUGUGCACAUAGCCACUCACUAACGUACGUGCUUGCACGAGAAUCCAUUUCUCUGUCGUACGUAAUAAGGAACGUUGUACUUAUAAAAAUCAUCGACAAGAAGACAUUUUCCUCGCAAUGCCCUGGGCAUGUUUUUCCGACAUUCAGACAGAAUAGUGGCAUGAGUCGAUUAAUCUAUGGCAGAUCAACAAGAUCAGUUGUCAUCAGGGGGGUCUGUAGAGACGGCCAGUGCUUCAGCAGACACCUCUAAAGUUAGAGGGAAGAGCUCUAGCAGUGGUAGUAGUGGUUAUAGAAAACGACAAAGCACUGGUUCUAUUCCUAUUACAGUAGAAGAAAAAAGACGUAGACAAACUAUUGGUGAUCCACAAUCGUCUGAAGUUUUUGAUAAUACUUCUUGUAAACAUUCAAGCGAUUCAAUACAAAGCGAAUCAAGAAGUGAAUGUAAAAGUCAUGGCAGUGGCUUAGAAUCAUAUUUAGAUAAUAAUUGGAGAUCACAACAUAAGAUUCAACAAUCAAAUUAUAAUAUUAGUGGAAAUAGUACAAGACAACGUAGUACUGCAAGAACAAGUCUACCAGAGUUAAAUUUAACAGCUGUUGAUUGUGUUGCAUCAAGGACACGUUCUCGUACACCACAAAAUCCACAAGCCAUAUCACAGGGACAUAAUAGUUACAAUUUAUCACUAUCCAGUGGUUAUAAUAAUAAAGAGGACUUGUCAUAUAACAAUUUGGUACCAACAUCAACUACUACACCAGUUACUAGUCAUCCAUCUACAUCAAGAGGAAGAGGCCUGAGGAUGAGCGAAUGUCUGGAAGGAUUUGUGUCUGCUGUCAAAGCACUUUUUCCAAUAUCAACACAAACGUAUCAUCAAGAAGGGUCAAAAUCCCACGGUGGUGCAACCUGCGCAAGUAGCAGUGCGAGUAGUCAAGUUUUAAGUGUGAAGUCCAGCAUCAGAGUGGGUAACGCAGCCAGUAAUUCUGUGGAGAGUGGUGGGGGGGCAUUGGCACAUGACGGGGCAGGCACUAGUGGCAUCACUACAGCCACUGCCAAUCCACCUGUGUCUGCCGCCGCCACUGCCAACCCUACACACCCUCAUCCAACGCACAAACAUAUAUUACGUUCUCGCACAAAAUUAUCCAGUGACUAUAAAGAACUAUCAAGUAUUAACAAAACUUCAGGAAAGCAUCAUAAGAAAGAUACUACAGGAACUUGUUCAAGCUCUAGACAUCGUUCUUCAUCACGUGCAAGAAAAGCAGUGAUAGAAGGAAAUUCUGGAGGAAGUGUAAUGUCAGGUACUGAAUCUAUGACUAAUAGUACCACUCCAACAACUGUUUCAUCUACAGUUUCUAGCAAUCAAUUAGUAUCUACAACAGGAGAAGACGAAUUAGCAUCUACAGCUACAUCUGCCACUGCAAGUGGAGGACCAUCUGGAAUGUCUGGUACUACUGGAGAUAGUGAAAGCGAUGAUGGAGAAGUUGGAAGAUUGCAAGCAUUACUUGAAGCUAGAGGUUUACCUCCUCAUGUAUUUGGCGCAUUAGCACCACGAAUGCAACAUUUAUUAAAUAGAAGCAUGGGUGCAAGUUCUGCUGCUAAAGCACAACAGUUAUUGGCUGGUUUACAAGCUGUUGAUGAUGAGGGGGAACAAUUACAAGCUGUUAUAGGAAUGGGUGAAAUUCUUGUUAUGGGGAAUGAAGAUACAUUAGCUGGUUUUCCUGUGAAACAAGUUGUUGCAGCAUUAAUAAAUUUACUCGGAAUAGAACAUAAUUUUGUAAUAAUGACACACGCAUGUCGUGCUCUUACUUACAUGAUGGAAGCUUUACCUCGAUCAUCGACAGUAGUAGUUGAUGCUGUUCCAGUGUUCUUACAAAAAUUAGAAUCUAUUGAAUGUAUGGAUGUAGCAGAACAAUGUUUAACAGCAUUAGCUAUGCUUUCUCGGAGACAUAGUAAAACUAUUUUACAUGAAGGAGGAGUAUCAGCUUGUUUAAAAUUUGUUGAUUUUUUUAAUAUCACAGCACAACGGGCUGCAUUAACAAUUACAGCAAACUGUUGUCAAAAUCUUCAUCCUGAUGAUUUUCACUUAGUAGCUGACAGUUUACCUUUAUUGACGAGUAGACUGACAAAUCAAGAUAAGAAAAGUGUUGAAUGUGUUUGCCAAGCAUUUAGUCGUUUAGUUGAUAGUUUUCAACACGAUCCGGUAACUUUGCAUAAAAUUAUUAAUGCAGAACUUCUUCAGAAUUUACAACAAUUGCUUAUGAUUACCCCACCUGUUAAUAGCAUUAGUAAUUUCAUAACAGUGUUGCGAAUGCUCUCUGUGAUAUCAAAUCGCUGUCCUGAUUUGGCACAGCUGCUUUUACAACAAAAUAUAGCUUUUACACUAAGUUAUCUUUUAACUGGAUCAUUAGAAGUUAAAACAGAAGAUGUAGAAUUAGUACCGCGAUCUCCGCAAGAAUGGUUUGAAAUCACUUGUUUAAUUGAGGAACUUAUGCCUCCAUUACCAACAGAUGGCAUAUUUAGUGUAAAUAGUUUACUUGAAAGGACCAGUAAUCAACAAGAAAAUGUUCAUUGGGAAUGGCGUGAUGAAAGACAUUGCUGUCAUCCAUUUAGUACUAUUGAUUCUAGAAUCAUUGAGAUGGCAUUUCAAAAUGGUGAGGAUGAGAUCUGUCUUUCUUCUUUAGGUCGAACUUAUACAAUAGAUUUAACUGUGAUGAAACAAAUUAAUGAAGAUAUUGGAUUAGCAAGAAGCAUUUUUCGUAGAGUAAAUGCACAUCCUACAGAAGGAAAAAGUCCUACAUGUUCAUCUAAUAUGGAUGUUGUACCUCCAGUAAUUGAAACAAAUGAAUGGUUAGUAUCGUUUAUUCGAACUCUAUUCUCUGUGUUAUAUGAAGUCUACAGCAGUUCUGCUGGUCCUGCUGUAAAAUGUAAAUGUCUUCGAGCUCUUUUACGUAUGGUUUAUUAUGCCUCAACUGAUUUACUUAAGGAUGUUUUAAAAAAUCAAGUGGUGUCAUCACACAUAGCGGGUAUGUUGGCAUCCCAAGAUUUACGAAUUGUUAUUGGAGCUCUGCAAAUGGCAAGCAUAUUAAUGAAAAGAUUACCACAAGUAUUUGGGGUUCAUUUUCAUCGUGAGGGCGUUUUGCAUCAAAUACGUCAACUAGCUGAUCCUGAAGUACCUCUUGGUGUUUCACCACCCAAGUGUCCUUCUAGUACUGGUACAUCAUUACCAAGCCCACAACCAGGUCCAUCUAAUACAUCGCUUUGUUCCACCACGAUGUUUUCGUCUAAUAAUGCUACGUCUCCAAUUGCCUCUCCAUCAACAAAUGGUAACAUAUUAUUUGGUACAAUUGCAACAUGUCAGUUGAAAUCGAAUCUUUCUGCGUCAAUGGAAACACAUACUAGAAAUGAAUUAAAUUCUACUGUAGAUGAUGUAACUACACCACAAAGUGCUCAUUUGAGAAUUGGAGAUGUUUUGAAAAGAAAACGACAAAAUAAAAAAGGUCGAUUUUCUAGACUAGGCAGUACUACACCUCAACAAACUCAACAACCUGAAUCUCUAUUUACUGGUUUUGCUCCUAAAAAUAAUCGUUUCUUAGGAAAUCUUAAUCCUGCUAGAUGGGGUCGAAAAUCAUCAUCUUCAAAUUCUGCUAAUGAUAAAAGAGAUACGAGUUCAUCAACAAGUUUAUCAAAACCACCUAGUAAUUCAAGUCUAACAGGAGGAAAUAGAGAUAAAGCUAAAGCAUGGGUACGUGAACAGGCUGCUCAAUUUUUAGCACGAUAUCAGGAUGAUGCUCCAUGCACGCAUCCUGCAAUGACAGUUCUUUCCAGACUUACUGCUGCCAUACAACGGUUACAAUCUAAUGAAUUGGAUGAAAUGUUAUCGGCACUUACCGAGUUAAGAGAUAUAGUACUUGAAAGUGAUAUAUCUCCGUUUGAAAUGAAUUAUAGUGGUCUUAUCAAAGCUCUGCUCAACUACCUCACUACUACAGAUGCCCCUGGUAAUCGUUACGAUCGCCUUCGCAUGUUCUGGAAAUUGUUUGCAGAAUCAACUAUGCAUCAGGAUAACAAUAUUACUGAUCUUAAUCCUGGAGCAUUUGGUGCUCUAGUAGCAAAAUUAAACAGUUGUGUUGCACAGUUGGAACAAUUUCCUGUAAAAGUACACGAUUUACCGGCAGGAUCUGGUGCUGGUCGUGGAGGCACUAGUGCUCUUAAAUUUUUCAAUACACAUCAACUCAAGUGUAAUCUUCAACGACAUCCAGAUUGUAAUAAUUUAAAACAAUGGAAAGGGGGUACUGUUAAAAUAGAUCCUCUUGCAUUAGUGCAAGCAAUUGAACGUUAUUUAAUGGUUCGUGGGUAUGGUAGAAUACGAGAAGCAGAAUCUAUGGUUAGUGACGACGAUAAUAGUGAAGAUGAUAUAGAUGAUACAUUGGCAGCAGUAGUUAUAAGUCAAGGAUCAGCAAAACAUAAACUUCAAUUUUUAAUUGGAGAUGAAGUACUGCCUUUUAAUAUGACUGUUUAUCAAGCUGUAAGACAAUUUGGUUGUACUGGAAUGGAUCAUUCAGAAGCAGAAGCUGAUGGUGAACCACCACUUGGUCAUGAUGCUGUAUGGGUACAAACUCACACAAUUUAUUACAGACCUGUACCAGAAGAAGAAACUAUAACAUCACCAAAACCAGGAUCAAGUUCACAGAGUAGUAGCCGCAAAGGCAAAGGAAAAAGUACAAAGAUCAGUUCAAAACGAAAAGAAGAUAGUUUGUGGCUUGAAGGAACAGUUCCUCCGCAACGUUGUCCACUUGAUCCUUAUCUGUCACCUACCUUGCCAUCUUCGGUUACUAUUACUGAUGCCUCAUUGGAUGGUUUAUGUUUGCUACGUCUUUUACAUGCUUUAAAUCGUCAUUGGGGUGUUUUAUUUCCUCAUUUGAAGGGUUUAAGUUUACUUUCUCCACAAGAUUUUAUUAAUAAUAAAAUAGCCGCAAAAGCAAGUCGGCAGCUACAAGAUCCUUUAGUGAUUAUGACUGGAAACUUACCUCUAUGGUUACAACAAAUUGCUACAGUAUGUCCAUUCUUAUUUCCAUUUGAAACGAGACAAUUAUUACUCUAUGCAACAUCGUUUGAUAGAGAUAGAGCUUUACAACGUCUCUUAGAUUCCGCUCCAGAAUUAUCGGGAUCGGAUAGCCAAGAACGCGUUACUCCACGUUUAGAACGAAGAAAAAGAACCAUUUCCAGAACGGAUAUUCUCAAACAAGCAGAAUUAGUUAUACAAGAUUUAGCAUCUAGCAAAGCCUUACUUGAAGUGCAAUAUGUUAAUGAGGUUGGUACCGGUUUAGGUCCAACAUUGGAAUUUUAUGCUCUAGUCUCUCAGGAAUUACAGCGUGCUGAUCUUGAUCUUUGGCAUGGUAGUUCAAGUCCUACUGAAGCAGGAUACGUUAAUGCUCCACAAGGACUUUUUCCAAUGCCAAUUUCAUGGAGUACUAAAGUAUCCCAUCUUGCAAAACUUAAAACAAAAUUUAAGUUUCUUGGAAAGUUUAUGGCGAAAGCGAUAUAUGAUUCUAGAAUGUUGGAUUUACCAUUCAGUUUAACUUUCUAUCGUUGGUUAUUGGGAGAAGAACAUAUGCUAACAUUAGCUGAUUUAGCACAUGUAUGUCCUGAUGUACAUCGAACUCUUACUAGAUUACAGCAAGUUAUUAGACAAAAGGAAACAAUUGAGAAAGAUCAAAUAUUAAGACCACAUGAAAAAGCACAACUAAUAGAGUCACUAAAUUUAGAUGGAUGUCUAAUUUCCGAUCUUGGUCUUGUUUUCGAAUUACCGGGUUAUGAAAAUAUCGAAUUAAGGAAAGGCGGAAGUGAAAUACCUGUUACUACUUAUAACCUAGAUCAAUACAUCAAGUUGGUGGUACAUUGGUUCUUAUACGAAGGUGUCUUCAGACAAAUGGAAGCAUUUAGGGAAGGAUUUGAAUCUGUUUUUCCACCAUCACAAUUAAGAUUAUUCUUUCCUGAAGAACUGGAAGCUGUGUUCUGUGGACAUGCACAAUCAGGUGGACAAUGGGAUGUGAAAACACUUUCGGAAUGCUGUAGGACUGAUCAUGGUUAUACACCAGAUUCUCGUGCUAUUCGUUUUCUAUUUGAAGUUAUGUCAAAAUAUAAUAGUGAAGAACAAAGGCAGUUCGUUCAAUUUGUUACAGGUUCACCUCGAUUACCAGUAGGAGGUUUCAAGAGUUUAACACCGCCGUUAACAAUAGUGCGUAAAACGUUCGAUCCAUCUAUGAAAACAGACGAUUUCUUACCAUCCGUAAUGACUUGUGUUAAUUACUUAAAACUGCCUGAUUAUACAACAUUAGAAAUAAUGCGGGAAAAGUUGCGAAUAGCUGCACAAGAAGGACAACAUUCGUUCCACCUUUCCUAGAAACGGAUGGAAAACCGGCGCGCCAUUUGCUCUUUUGCUAUCGUAUUGUCCAGGUAAGAUAGUCCAAUUAAUACUUUACUUAGCUGUAUAAGAAAGCAGCCAAUCAUCAAAUCAAGUCAUCAUAAUGAUACAUGAAUCGAAGAAAAUUCUUAUAUCCACUUAUUUACAGGCAAAGUAUCUAUUUAUGAAACAUGUACGACAACUGUAUAAUACGAAAUAGAAUGGAUAUAAAAAUCAGCGAAGCUGGUGUAUCAAAUGGAUUAUACAAGGUACAUUACUUUCUUAUAUUUCUGUAGAAAUGUGAUUCUAUACAAAAAUUAUGAAAAUAUGAAUUGAUCACAAAUAGAAAAGAAAAUAAUUGACUAUUUGUUUUACAUUUAUAUUGUGUAUUAUUACUUGAAAUGAUCAAUAUAUACAUACAUCACUUUUGAUUUUUAUUUUUAUAUAUAUGGAACUUAAUUGAUAAAUUAGCGAUUAAAUUAAUUGGUAUUAAAUCAUUAUUUCUCGUUUUAAUUUUUAAAAUAAAAUUAAUAAGAUUACUUCAAAACUUUGUUCCAUCCUUGAAAUAUUUUUUUUAGCAUUAUACAAAAUUUCUUUUCUGACAAUCUACGAUAUUCUUAUACUUCAUAAUUUUUAUGUAUUUUAUGAUAAAACAUAAAACAUGUUGUAUUUUUGCAUUACAUUUCUAAUAACGAAUAACAAUAAUGAAUAGUUGAUAAUAUAUACAUAAUGUAGAAGAAAAGUCAUUCUACACUAUGAAAUAUGCAAUUAGAAAUACAAAUAUAAUGU